rnacentral:rRNA from 1 species
AGAGUUUGAUCCUGGCUCAGGAUGAACGCUGACAGAAUGCUUAACACAUGCAAGUCUACUUGAUCCUUCGGGUGAUGGUGGCGGACGGGUGAGUAACGCGUAAAGAACUUGCCCUGCAGUCUGGGACAACAUUUGGAAACGAAUGCUAAUACCGGAUAUUAUGUGAGUUUCGCAUGAAAUUCAUAUGAAAGCUAUAUGCGCUGCAGGAGAGCUUUGCGUCCUAUUAGCUAGUUGGUGAGGUAACGGCUCACCAAGGCGAUGAUAGGUAGCCGGCCUGAGAGGGUGAACGGCCACAAGGGGACUGAGACACGGCCCUUACUCCUACGGGAGGCAGCAGUGGGGAAUAUUGGACAAUGGACCAAAAGUCUGAUCCAGCAAUUCUGUGUGCACGAUGAAGUUUUUCGGAAUGUAAAGUGCUUUCAGUUGGGACGAAGUAAGUGACGGUACCAACAGAAGAAGCGACGGCUAAAUACGUGCCAGCAGCCGCGGUAAUACGUAUGUCGCAAGCGUUAUCCGGAUUUAUUGGGCGUAAAGCGCGUCUAGGCGGUUUGGUAAGUCUGAUGUGAAAAUGCGGGGCUCAACUCCGUAUUGCGUUGGAAACUGCCAAACUAGAGUACUGGAGAGGUGGGCGGAACUACAAGUGUAGAGGUGAAAUUCGUAGAUAUUUGUAGGAAUGCCGAUGGGGAAGCCAGCCCACUGGACAGAUACUGACGCUAAAGCGCGAAAGCGUGGGUAGCAAACAGGAUUAGAUACCCUGGUAGUCCACGCCGUAAACGAUGAUUACUAGGUGUUGGGGGUCGAACCUCAGCGCCCAAGCUAACGCGAUAAGUAAUCCGCCUGGGGAGUACGUACGCAAGUAUGAAACUCAAAGGAAUUGACGGGGACCCGCACAAGCGGUGGAGCAUGU